rnacentral:lncRNA from 1 species
AAAAAAACCCUCAACUCUCCCAUCUGUGCCAGAGGUGUCCUCAGUGUGCCCAGAUGACUGAUGGGAGAUAGUCACAGGGUGGUAGCAGAGGCCUCAAACAUCAAGCUUUUGGGGCACCUGGAGCAUGGAUGAUAAGCAGGCGACAGUUUCCUGCAAGACUGUAUCCCUGCAGAGAAGUCUGACAGGCACUGGUGCAGGAUGCAAUGCCUGGUAUUGUACCACCUGGUGCUUCUCCAAGGCUGGUGUCCCACUCCAUGUGUGGAGCGUCUCUCCAGCAACCUGAGCUUACGACGGUGCACCAUCAAGCAUGCCUUUGAGGUCAUCUACCUGCUCGCUGGAGAGAACUCUCUGCAGGGUUUCACUGUCAUUAACAGUGGCCUCCCAGGAGACUGAGCAUGCAUUGGGUGAGUCCCACAGGAAGAUGGUAGGCUGUAGUGGGACUCCACUGCACCCAGUGAAUCAAGCCCUCUGGCUGUGCCUAGACGCGAGUGCCUGUGAGGCUGCCUAAUAUUAAGACAACAGGCAAAGAAGCUGGUGAUACAAAGGCACCACCGAAC